UGAACCUACCUAUCGUUGCUUCGGCGGACUCGCCCCAGCCCGGACGCGGACUGGACCAGCGGCCCGCCGGGGACCUCAAACUCUUGUAUUCCAGCAUCUUCUGAAUACGCCGCAAGGCAAAACAAAUGAAUCAAAACUUUCAACAACGGAUCUCUUGGCUCUGGCAUCGAUGAAGAACGCAGCGAAACGCGAUAAGUAAUGUGAAUUGCAGAAUCCAGUGAAUCAUCGAAUCUUUGAACGCACAUUGCGCCCGCCAGCAUUCUGGCGGGCAUGCCUGUUCGAGCGUCAUUUCAACCCUCGACCUCCCCUUGGGGAGGUCGGCGUUGGGGACCGGCAGCACACCGCCGGCCCUGAAAUGGAGUGGCGGCCCGUCCGCGGCGACCUCUGCGCAGUAAUACAGCUCGCACCGGGACCCCGACGCGGCCACGCCGUAAAACACCCAACUUCUGAACGUUGACCUCGAAUCAGGUAGGACUACCCGCUGAACUUAAGCUUCAAAACGGGGGGAAGAAACGCUCCCUAACCCUUUCUUGGUGAACCUACCUAUCGUUGCUUCGGCGGGACGCGCCCCAGCCCAGGACGCGGACUGGGACCAGCGGCCCGCCGGGGACCUCAAACUCUUGUAUUUC
rnacentral:rRNA from 1 species